CUGCUGUGUCAUGUCAAUUCUUCACAAAUUUAUUGUUUCUUCCUCUAAAAGGUAUAAAAGCUUCCUGCUCUGGUUUCUUCUUUGGGUCUUCGUUCUCUUGGGAAGGCUCUCAUGUACAUGGGAAAAUCCAAUAAAAUUUGUGUGCUUUGAUCCUGUUAAUCUGUCUUUGUCGGUUUAAUUUUCAGACCUAGCCAGAGACCCUAGGAGAACUUUUUCCGUCCCUACACCCUCAACUAAAAGAAAAGAACACAAGUUUCCUAAAUCUGACGGAGUAUCUUAGCUUUUAUUCAUUCCUCCCCAGCUCCCUUGGAGAAUAAACAGGACUGGCCCUUGCAGAGCUUGCAGCCAGAGGGCGUUCCCUGAAGAGCUGCCUGUCUAAGAACACUUCCUCCUCAGGAGCCUGAGCGCCACCAGCAAGACCACCCCUCCCUGUCCAGGAUGCUGCCGCAGCAUGGCUUGACAAACUGUGCGUAGGUCUCCACCCAGGAUCUGAACUAGUGAACCCUGGGCCACUGAAGCAGACCAUGUGAAC
rnacentral:lncRNA from 1 species